rnacentral:rRNA from 1 species
AGAGUUUGAUCCUGGCUCAGGAUGAACGCUGACAGAAUGCUUAACACAUGCAAGUCUACUUGAUCCUUCGGGUGAAGGUGGCGGACGGGUGAGUAACGCGUAAAGAACUUGCCUUACAGACUGGGACAACAUUUGGAAACGAAUGCUAAUACCGGAUAUUAUGAUUGGGUCGCAUGAUCUGAUUAUGAAAGCUAUAUGCGCUGUGAGAGAGCUUUGCGUCCCAUUAGUUAGUUGGUGAGGUAACGGCUCACCAAGACGAUGAUGGGUAGCCGGCCUGAGAGGGUGAACGGCCACAAGGGGACUGAGACACGGCCCUUACUCCUACGGGAGGCAGCAGUGGGGAAUAUUGGACAAUGGACCAAAAGUCUGAUCCAGCAAUUCUGUGUGCACGAAGAAGUUUUUCGGAAUGUAAAGUGCUUUCAGUUGGGAAGAAGUCAGUGACGGUACCAACAGAAGAAGCGACGGCUAAAUACGUGCCAGCAGCCGCGGUAAUACGUAUGUCGCAAGCGUUAUCCGGAUUUAUUGGGCGUAAAGCGCGUCUAGGCGGCUUAGUAAGUCUGAUGUGAAAAUGCGGGGCUCAACCCCGUAUUGCGUUGGAAACUGCUAAACUAGAGUACUGGAGAGGUAGGCGGAACUACAAGUGUAGAGGUGAAAUUCGUAGAUAUUUGUAGGAAUGCCGAUGGGGAAGCCAGCCUACUGGACAGAUACUGACGCUAAAGCGCGAAAGCGUGGGUAGCAAACAGGAUUAGAUACCCUGGUAGUCCACGCCGUAAACGAUGAUUACUAGGUGUUGGGGGUCGAACCUCAGCGCCCAAGCUAACGCGAUAAGUAAUCCGCCUGGGGAGUACGUACGCAAGUAUGAAACUCAAAGGAAUUGACGGGGACCCGCACAAGCGGUGGAGCAUGUGGUUUA